rnacentral:rRNA from 1 species
UACGGGGGGAGCAAGCGUUGUUCGGAUUUACUGGGCGUAAAGGGCGCGUAGGCGGCCAGCACAAGUCAGUUGUGAAAUCUCCGAGCUUAACUCGGAAAGGUCAACUGAUACUGUGCGGCUAGAGUGCGGAAGGGGCAACUGGAAUUCUUGGUGUAGCGGUGAAAUGCGUAGAUAUCAAGAGGAACACCGGUGGCGAAGGCGGCAUUCUGGACUGCAACUGACACUGAAAGACGAAAGCCAGGGAGCAAACGGG